GGCGCUAUCGUCUAACGGCUAGGACGAUACCCUUUCACGGUAUAAAUCAGGGUCCGACUCCCUGUAGCGUCA
rnacentral:tRNA from 1 species